rnacentral:rRNA from 1 species
CAAUAGCGUAUAUUAAAGUUGUUGCAGUUAGAACGCUCGUAGUCGGAUUUCGGGGCGGGCCGACCGGUCUGCCGAUGGGUACGCACUGGUCGGCGCGUCCUUCCUUCCGGAGACCGUGCCUACUCUUAACUGAGCGGGGGCGGGAGACGGGACUUUUACUUUGAAAAAAUCAGAGUGUUUCAAGCAGGCAGCUCGCUCUUGCAUGGAUUAGCAUGGGAUAAUGAAAUAGGACUUUGGUGCUAUUUUGUUGGUUUCGAACACCGAAGUAAUGAUGAGAAGGGACAGUCAGGGGCACUCGUAUUCCGCCGAGAGAGGUGAAAUUCUCAGACCAGCGGAAGACGAACCACUGCGAAAGCAUUUGCCAGGGAUGUUUUCACUGA